CUCACAGAAUCACAGAACUGUAGGAGUUGGAAAGGACCUCUGGAGAUGAUCCUCUCCAGCGCCCUAAUAAAGCAGGUUCCCUACAGCACGUCACACAGGAAAGCAUCCAGUUUGUGCCCAUUGUUCCUCAUCCAGUCACUUGACCAAGAAAAACAUGGACCCCUCUCUUCAGAUACUUCGAAGGAGACAGCCCUGCCCGUGAUUGUCUCUUGCUGGCUUCUUGAUUUAACAACGCAGCUGUGUCAAGACCGCAUCUCUGCAGCAUGAGGAGCAACAAUUAAAACACCAAGUCCAUAUGAGAAGCCAUACAUCCCGCAAAACCACCGAAACCAGAAGUUGUCAUUUGCACUUCGGAGUGCCUUUUUAUCUCACUGCCUCUCAGGAAGUUUAAUGACGAUAAUGACAAAGCCACCUUUCGUUCUCCGCCCCCGCCAGGAUCCCACGCUCCGUGCGGGGAGUGGGAGCGCGGGGGACGCGGCCCCGCACGUUGCCCAGAGCGCGGCGGAGCGCCCGUCCUCGGCAGCCCCUGCCCGAAACGCGGCUCGUUAAUCACUGUGACUCUUCCUGCCUUCGCUUCGAUGUCCGAAGUGAAACCAUCACCUUUCGUUUAUCCCUAAGAGAAGUGCAGCAAAAACAACAAGCAAGCAAGCAAGCAAACAAACAAAGGACUGCAUGUCAUGGCAGUAUUUUUUUUAAGCUUUAAGGGGCUUUGCAAAAGAGUUGGAAAAAAAAAAAGAAGAAGAAGAAGAAGAAGAAGAAGUGUUUAAGUAUGCACGAACAGAGAGAACCGUUUAAUUGAAAGCAUGAAAGAGGACGAAAGACCACACUCGUUCCCGCUCUUUGGUAACAUAUGCCUAUCCUAUAAUUGCCUGUAAAUAGCCACCGCAAAAGCAACUCAGAUUAGUGGCUUUCUGGGCGAGGGAUGGAAACUCUGACGACUUCAGCUAUCGAAAGCUUACGUGAACUUGUGCUACACGAGAGGAAAAAGAAAAGAAAAAGAAAAAGAAAAAUUAUCCCAAAGAUUCUCGUGUGAAAGCUGCCAAGGUUUUAUCCUUGGGGGAAUUAAAAAAGAAACCACAUGCCACACAGCCCCGCACCGCAUCUCAACGACAACCUGCUAUAUGCCGACGACCUCCGGCACUCUCAAGGAGGUGUCUCUAGCGUUCGAACUAAUCUAGAGACAUUUCCAGCUGAUUACUGUUCUCUUUAAUAAUGGCUCAUAUUUCUCGUCUUGUAGAAGGAGAUUUAGCCACAGAAAAGCUCC
ensembl:lncRNA